rnacentral:misc_RNA from 1 species
GUGGUUUCGUCACCUCUUAUUGGUUUCAUCGAUCCUCAAACUCUUAACUCUCAAAGAGAAAUAGGCCUUUUCCCUGCCUCCUCUCCUCAGGCGGAUUCCUCAAAACACACGCACACACCCUCUCUCUCUAUCUGCGACUCUUACAAAUUCAACACUGGACCUUCGUCUCUAUCAACACUCACUCGCUAAGGUUAGCCUAGAAAUCACCAAAACCAAUGGCGUCUUCACUCUCCACAACUGCCUCCGCUUCUGCUUCUGCUUCUGCUUCU